rnacentral:rRNA from 1 species
GACGAACGCUGGCGGCGUGCUUAACACAUGCAAGUCGAACGGAAAGGCCCUGCUUUUGUGGGGUGCUCGAGUGGCGAACGGGUGAGUAACACGUGAGUAACCUGCCCUUGACUUUGGGAUAACUUCAGGAAACUGGGGCUAAUACCGGAUAGGAGCUCCUGCUGCAUGGUGGGGGUUGGAAAGUUUCGGCGGUUGGGGAUGGACUCGCGGCUUAUCAGCUUGUUGGUGGGGUGGUGGCUUACCAAGGCCUUGCCGGGUAGCCGGCCUGAGAGGGGGACCGGCCACAUUGGGACUGAGAUACGGCCCAGACUCCUACGGGAGGCAGCAGUGGGGAAUAUUGCACAAUGGGCGGAAGCCUGAUGCAGCAACGCCGCGUGCGGGAUGACGGCCUUCGGGUUGUAAACCGCUUUCGCCUGUGACGAAGCGUGAGUGACGGUAAUGGGUAAAGAAGCACCGGCUAACUACGUG